rnacentral:rRNA from 1 species
UUGACAAUGGGGGCAACCCUGAUCCAGCCAUGCCGCGUGAGUGAAGAAGGCCUUCGGGUUGUAAAGCUCUUUCAGAUGCGAAGAUGAUGACGGUAACAUCAGAAGAAGCCCCGGCUAAUUUCGUGCCAGCAGCCGCGGUAAUACGAAAGGGGCUAGCGUUGUUCGGAUUUACUGGGCGUAAAGGGCACGCAGGCGGUCUUGCCAGUCAGGGGUGAAAGCCCGGGGCUCAACCCCGGAACUGCCUCUGAUACUGUGAGACUAGAGACUAGGAGAGGGUGGUGGAAUUCCCAGUGUAGAGGUGAAAUUCGUAGAUAUUGGGAGGAACACCAGAGGCGAAGGCGGCCACCUGGACUAGAUCUGACGCUCAGGUGCGAAAGCGUGGGGAGCAAACAGGAUUAGAUACCCUGGUAGUCCACGCCGUAAACGAUGAGUGCUAGUUGUCGGGACUUCGGUUUCGGUGACGCAGCUAACGCAUUAAGCACUCCGCCUGGGGAGUACGGUCGCAAGAUUAAAACUCAAAGGAAUUUGCC